GGCAAGUCUGGUGCCAGCAGCCGCGGUAAUUCCAGCUCUCAAAGUGCAUAGAAUUAUUGCUGCGGUUAAAAAGCUCGUAGUUGGAUCUGUGCCAUAGGACGUGGUCCACCUUCGGGUGCGUACUACGCUCCUAGGCUUUUUGCUGGUUUUCCCGUCGUACCUUCACUGGUUGCGGCGGGUGGCUGGCGAGUUUACUUUGAGAAAAUCAAAGUGCUCAAUACAGGCGUAUCGCUUGAAUGAUUGUGCAUGGAAUAAUAGAAAAGGAUUUCGGUCCUCUUUUAUUGGUUUUGUGGACUGAGAUAAUGGUUAACAGGGACAAACGGGGGCAUUCGUAUCUCUGCGUGAGAGGUGAAAUUCUUGGACCGUAGAAAGACCCCCUACUGCGAAAGCAUUUGCCAA
rnacentral:rRNA from 1 species